AGACAACUUCGCUUGGGAACGGACAUGUAACUACAGGGUAGGACACUUCCUCCUGAGACAGAAGGACCCACCCACAGUUGGCAAUGAUGAGAGAGCUCCAUCACAGCCUCUGGCAACCAUUAAGGAGGCUUGGGAAGAUCCCAAGCAGAAGAGGAGAGGUGUUUCAGAGUCCAAGGAACUGUCCUGCCCUCUCAUCUCAGAAAACCCAUUUUCAACCCUUACACAAACAUCCAGCCAUCCACAUCACCCAACCAUCCCAUCACAGACAGAACAGGAAAAGACGUGGGUACACUCAGAAAAGAAGGUAUGUGAAGACAGAGGCGGAGGUUGGAGUGAUGCAGUCACCAGCAAAGGAACAUGUGGAGUCACCA